UAAUUGAUCCUUCAAGAAAGUAAUCUGUAUACACAGACUUGUUCUUCUUCACCAAGAAAAAAACACGAUCUUGUCUUCAAUCGAUCAAGACUUUCAUCUGUAUAGGAGUUCGAUGAAAGAAAAAAAAGGACUCCGGUGGCACAACCGGUGACAGUAGUAGCGACGAACCGGUGGCGGCGGGAUUGUUGAGGAGCGGCGGUCAGGAGGCCGCGUAGGCGAGGAACAGGCGGCGAUGAACCGGCAACUGGGUUCAAUCGGAACCCUAGUCUUACAGGUUUCCCACAUGUUUUCUGCCGCUACUUUUGACAAACCACAAGAGUGGCUUCACACUCAACAGUCGUUAUGGUGGCACGGCUAACUGCAAUUGCGAUGGUUUGUCAGAGAUGUCGCCAAGAAUAUGAAGGUGAACACAGAUAUUAGGUGCUUUGAAUGAGGCUAAGGAUAAGAGUGGUACAUGGGCCGGUUGUGUUACAGAGGGGAAACAAAUAAGUAAUGAAAAGAAACUUUCUUAAAAAAAGUUGUAAUUUGAAAAUGAUUCAGAUAGUGUCCUUUCAUAAAUAAAGACGUAAAUUAUGUUAAAUCUAUAUCAUUCUAACUCCUAUUAUACUUGGUACUACACUAUUUCUUCCUAGUGAGAAGUCAUCUAAGGUUUAAACAUAAGUUUCAAAGCCUAAUAAAUCGGUUACAAUUUUCUGUAAAAAGGCCAUACGACCCGUAUGCCAUAGGACCAUAUGACUUGUAUUAAGGUUCGGUUAUAUGACUUGUAUGAAAGUAAUUACUCCGCUGGCUAUUAAAAGGCGCUACUGGCAUGCGCCUCAGGCACAAGGCUGGUCACUUCUAAAUUGAAAAGGCCUAAUGUGUACACAAGGCACACUAAAUGCGAGGCAGGCGCACAGAAAAGCGGCUUGAAGCGCACUCGGCUCCGGAGUCUACUGGUGUUGAACAUGUUGGAGGCAGUAUGUUUGAUCAUGUGCCUAAAGCUGAUGGAGUUUAUAUGACAGUUAGCCUUACACUUGAGGUUCUUCUCAAUUGCAUUUGAAAAGUAUUUAUAACACAGUUCAUACUUUAUUUAUGAAGCUUUGAUAUAAAUAUCAUUAUAAAAUUAUUUAGAGCUCAAGUUAGGUGACAUGGAAUUUUCAAUAUCUUUUGAUAGUACCACUUGAAUGAAUUGGUGGAGGUAAAUAAUAGGUAAUUUUUUAGUUUUUUUUUAUGCUAAUGAAGUUUUAUUUUGAUAUAGAGUUUUCGAUAUCUUUUGAUAGUACCACUUAAACGACGAGAACCAUGAAAAUAAAAUAGUAUCAAUUACAAUGAAUAUUUGCUUUUUAAAUCCAUCAUUUCAAGUAAUGUCGUUUUUUAAACCAAACAUGGUGUAAUGAGAAGGGUGAUAUAAAACGUGAAAUAUGUUAUCAGGUGGCGUUUUGUUUGUCUAUUAGGGAUGAGCAUGAGUAUUUGUAGUUUUCAUAUCAACAGGUUUUGGUAUUAAUGGCCGGGUUACUUUACUUUUUUUUUUACAAGAGGCUCGGUUAAUUCCGUUGACCAUCGGUUAACUGUCGGCUUUGAACAUAGGUGGAUUCAAUGAUCAACAAUUGCUUUUGGCUUCACCUUUGUGUAGGGUGUUUUUAAAUUAUAUCUCUAACAUAUGCAAUUCUAAGAUAUUCAUUUUAGAAGUUGACAUUGUAUUAUUUGUGAAAUAAUGUCAUAUUAUAACCUCAUUAUCUCUGUUCUAAACUUCUACUAAUUGAUGUUCUUUAUUUUAAUAGUUUAUUACCUGAUCAUAAGUUGAGGACACUUUUUCAGCAACCUCUGAAUCACCUUCGAGAUUUAAAGGAAUUCAAUUCACUUCUAUCAUCUGGCAAUGGAAGGAAUGACUAAAACAAAGGUACAUCAAAUUGUGUUACAGUUCCAUAGACUAAGUUACAUUUGUAGAUGCUUCUCACAACAAUAGUCACUAAGUCAAAUGUGACUAAAAUAUGAGAUUUUAUUGUAUAUAACUACCAAGCCAAAUAUGAUUAACACUUUUGGAGGCUUUCCAUUUGUUUGACUCAUUUCUUAUUUAUUUAUUUUUUUACCCUUCUCACCAAUUAGUAAUUUAAGAUAACUGGGUCGACCCAUUUUAUGUUAUGUUAUUUGCUAAGUCAGUUAGUUCUAAGGUUCGGGGUAUCUAUGUUGGUUUUACAAUUAUUAGUAAAUCCAAUUGCUUCCUUCCCUUGGGGGUAGUAUUUUUCAUUAUGAUAGGGGGCAAAUAGCUUUUUUUUCAAAUAAUAAAUAACGACUAUUUGCAAAAGUGACGUGUUUUUAACAGGUAGAUAGAUGUUUCCUCUACCUACGUUAGUUGAUUUUAGUUUAUAUUGAUAGUUGAGACUUGAUUAAUAUAUUAUUUAUCUUGACUAUUUUUUUCACUUGAAACACUUCAUUUAUAAGGUUGCUUGUGUUGUGUCUGCAUAAACUGUUGUCUCAAUACAUGGUGUCAAAUUCCAAGAGAUUCUUCGAGUCAAUGAGGUGGUUUAGUGAACACAUUGAUCUCUAUUUCAAAAUUAUAUUUUGAUCCACUAUUGAUGCGUAACAAGGUAAUUGAACUCAAAUCCCUUUAGUUGUUGAUAUGCAUUUAUGGUAGGGGUGUCAAUUGUGUCUGGUUGGCAGGUUGCGGGUUGGCGGGCUGAAACCCGCACAUGUAAAUUCAGGUCAACCCAAACACGUCCCGUUUAACCCAUUUUUAGAUAGAGUAUGUUGACAAGUUAUAAACGGGUUGUUGGAUUGUAAGCGAGUUGUUGGUAACAUGUUUAAUAGUGAGUAUAAGUGGAAUAGGUAUAUAGUAUAGUGGGACAAAACUAACGUUAUUAUUACUAACCAUGUAAAAUGAAAAACAUAAAAAAAAUCUAAAAGUUUUUUUUUUCUAAAUAUUUAAAUGGGUUAUCGGUUAAUCCGUUUUUAUAUGGUUCAACGCGAACCCAACCUGUUUUUAAUACGGGUCAACCCGAACCGGGCCCGUUUUUUAUACGUGUCAUGUCGUGUCUACCUAAAUGAAGUGUUUCUUCGUGUCAGGUUCGGGUCGCGUCAAGAGUUACCACUCCUAAUUUAUGGUAUACAUUUCACGAACCACAUAUUCUAAUUGCACUUAAAUAUGCAGGUUUAGGUUGGAUACAUUGCAAGCUUUUAAGGAAGGGCGUUAUGCUACAAGAGCUGUCAGCUUGUGUGCAAAUAGGUCUAUCGACAACUGUUUUUAACAAUAUUUGUUUUUUUAUAUAAGUUGGGGGUGUUAAAAUAUGUUAAUAAUCGUAACACGAGAACCAAUUGUGAGUAUAGUAGCAUCUACAUCUAUGUAUAAUUUAUUAAAUCGAUAAA